rnacentral:rRNA from 1 species
CCUACGGGUGGCAGCAGUGAGGAAUAUUGGUCAAUGGGCGCGAGCCUGAACCAGCCAAGUAGCGUGAAGGAUGACUGCCCUACGGGUUGUAAACUUCUUUUAUAAAGGAAUAAAGUGAGGCACGUGUGCCUUUUUGUAUGUACUUUAUGAAUAAGGAUCGGCUAACUCCGUGCCAGCAGCCGCGGUAAUACGGAGGGUCCGAGCGUUAUCCGGAUUUAUUGGGUUUAAAGGGAGCGCAGACGGGUUGUUAAGUCAGUUGUGAAAGUUUGGGGCUCAACCGUAAAAUUGCAAUUGAUACUGGCAGUCUUGAGUACAGUUGAGGUAGGUAGAAUUCGAGGUGUAGCGGUGAAAUGCUUAGAGAUCACGAAGAAUACCGAUUGCGAAGACAGCUUCCUAAACUGCGACUGACAUUGAUGUGCGAAAGUGUGGGGAUCAAACAGGAUUAGAUACCCUUGUAGUC